UAUAUCGGCUUACAUACAUAAUGGUCCGCAACAAGGCCAGUGCUGCCCUCUACUGGAUUCUCUUAAUAUUUCUAGUGCUACUCUUCUCUUCCGACAUAGCAUUCGCCAGAGUUUCACCAUUUUCAACAAACAAAGAGAACACCAGGCUGCACUGGCAAAUGAAAAGAGAUGUAAAUAGUCCUCAUGAUCCUGGCCGAGGGAACCACCCUGAAUACCGACCCCCACCACCUGGCCGCAUUGUUUGACCCAAUGGUAGUAGGUUAUCUCAAUCCCAGCCGUAUGUGGAAUUGUUUCUGCCUUCGUUUCCGAUCUUCAAGCUUUUGUUUUUGUACUUCGGGAUUAUUAUUAUUAUUUUUUAAAUAAGAUUGUACUUCUAGAAUUUGGUUUAAGUGUUGGGUCUAUCCUUAGGUGUUCAGACAUAAAACAAACAUAUCAUGUAUUAUUAUUAUUUUUUUUAAAUUAAAUAGAAGAUUAGGUGAUAACAAAUCAUGUAUUAUUAUAUAAAAAAAAUAAUAAUAAAACAAUGAGUGUGUCACACUAUUGGUUCUUUUGGAA